UUCCGGGCGGCCCCUGGCGGCGCAGCCGGCGCUGCAGCGCGCAGCCCGAGCGCCAGGGAAGGGGCUUGGAGAUGCGCCCCAAAGAGGGCGAGACCCUGGGAGGGCCCGCAGCGCCCCGAUCAUGCCUGGAGGCUCCCACAGUGCCCUGGAACCGCCCAAACCUCCAGAAAUGCAGGCAGGGUGCACUUCCCGGGGGGGCACAACUUUGGCAAUGAGGAAGAGAGAGAGGUGCAGGGAGAACUAGAAACCCGAGCAGCACGAAGGCACCGUGUGACACUACGCACAAACGCAGCAGCAGAAUGGCGUGGAAGGAAAGGCUCCACUCCAUGGGGGCUUCAUCCACUCCCAGUACCAUGCAGUGGUGAGAUUAGCGUGACCCUGGCAGAUCAGCCACGGGAUUUCAGUCCUCAGAAGAGAAGCCAAGUGGCAUCUCUAUUGCCUGGACUGGGCAGCGCCUGGUGAUGAUCAAGUCUCAGCAUCUCCAAUUAAUCUUGGGAUGAGAGCCGAAGGCAAGAAGCCAGUGGUGCCUGAGGAAUGCUAAAGAGCAAACUGAUCCAGGGAAACAAAUGCCAGUGAGGGACCCCACAGCAAAGAGACAGACACUGCGAGCAACUCUCCUGUUACCAUGAGCUGGCGAGGCGUGUGCGCGGGUCUCCGCAUUGGCACCAUCUGCCAAUUCCUCAGGAGGACAGAACAAACCAGUGAGGCAUGAAGAUUAGAUUAUGUAACGCUCGCGGAUUGCUGUUUUCAAAGAGGAAACAAAUGGAAUGAAUUGAUUUGCUUGUCAAAGUCAUGUCGCUAAAGGAGAUCCGUUCCCUCCUCUUCCAAGAGGACCUCAUUAAAGAGGGGAAUGAUUUCACAGAUUCA